CCAAACAUUCUUGUAAUAUCAUCAACAGACUUGAAGUUUUCCCCUUAACUCAAACUCCUUUGCAAUAGAUUUCUGUGUAAAUCUAUUUAUGAGAGCCUGCCAAACUUCAAGUGAGAUGAUCAGGAUUCAUUAUCUCUCCUGUC